rnacentral:pre_miRNA from 14 species
AUUCGGGGUUCCAGGGGGUCACGCUCCGAUCCCGGACGAGCCUCCAAAUGAAAGACCCCCGAAGGGAGCCCCCCACUCAAGUCUCGGGAAAGACGCGCACCCAGUAGGACACAGACACCG